GACGAACGCUGGCGGCGUGCCUAAUACAUGCCAGUAGAACGCUGAAGAGAGGAGCUUGCUCUUCUUGGAUGAGUUGCGAACGGGUGAGUAACGCGUAGGUAACCUGCCUUGUAGCGGGGGAUAACUAUUGGAAACGAUAGCUAAUACCGCAUAACAAUGGAUGACACAUGUCAUUUAUUUGAAAGGGGCAAUUGCUCCGCUACAAGAUGGACCUGCGUUGUAUUAGCUAGUAGGUGAGGUAAUGGCUCACCUAGGCGACGAUACAUAGCCGACCUGAGAGGGUGAUCGGCCACACUGGGACUGAGGCACGGCCCAGACGCCUACGGGAGGCAGCAGUAGGGAAUCUUCGGCAAUGGGGGCAACCCUGACCGAGCAACGCCGCGUGAGUGAAGAAGGUUUUCGGAUCGUAAAGCUCUGUUGUAAGUCAAGAACGGGUGUGAGAGCGGAAAGUUCACACUGUGACGGUAGCUUACCAGAAAGGGACGGCUAACUACGUG
rnacentral:rRNA from 1 species